AACGCUAGCUACAGGCUUAACACAUGCAAGUCGAGGGGCAGCAUGGUCUUAGCUUGCUAAGGCCGAUGGCGACCGGCGCACGGGCGAGUAACACGUAUCCAACCUGCCGUCUACUCUUGGACAGCCUUCUGAAAGGAAGAUUAAUACAAGAUGGCAUCAUGAGUCCGCAUGUUCACAUGAUUAAAGGUAUUCCGGUAGACGAUGGGGAUGCGUUCCAUUAGAUAGUAGGCGGGGUAACGGCCCACCUAGUCUUCGAUGGAUAGGGGUUCUGAGAGGAAGGUCCCCCACAUUGGAACUGAGACACGGUUCAAACUCCUACGGGAGGCAGCAGUGAGGAAUAUUGGUCAAUGGGCGAGAGCCUGAACCAGCCAAGUAGCGUGAAGGAUGACUGCCCUAUGGGUUGUAAACUUCUUUUAUAAAGGAAUAAAGUCGGGUAUGGAUACCCGUUUGCAUGUACUUUAUGAAUAAGGAUCGGCUAACUCCGUGCCAGCAGCCGCGGUAAUACGGAGGAUCCGAGCGUUAUCCGGAUUUAUUGGGUUUAAAGGGAGCGUAGGCGGACGCUUAAGUCAGUUGUGAAAGUUUGCGGCUCAACCGUAAAAUUGCAGUUGAUACUGGGUGUCUUGAGUACAGUAGAGGCAGGCGGAAUUCGUGGUGUAGCGGUGAAAUGCUUAGAUAUCACGAAGAACUCCGAUUGCGAAGGCAGCCUGCUGGACUGUAACUGACGCUGAUGCUCGAAAGUGUGGGUAUCAAACAGGAUUAGAUACCCUGGUAGUCCACACAGUAAACGAUGAAUACUCGCUGUUUGCGAUAUACAGUAAGCGGCCAAGCGAAAGCGUUAAGUAUUCCACCUGGGGAGUACGCCGGCAACGGUGAAACUCAAAGGAAUUGACGGGGGCCCGCACAAGCGGAGGAACAUGUGGUUUAAUUCGAUGAUACGCGAGGAACCUUACCCGGGCUUGAAUUGCAACUGAAUGAUGUGGAGACAUGUCAGCCGCAAGGCAGUUGUGAAGGUGCUGCAUGGUUGUCGUCAGCUCGUGCCGUGAGGUGUCGGCUUAAGUGC
rnacentral:rRNA from 1 species